rfam:Coprinopsis cinerea okayama7#130 chromosome 5 cont3.5, whole genome shotgun sequence.
GGUGCUAUAGUGUAGUGGUUAUCACUCGGGAUUUUGACUAUGAACUCAAAUUCCCGAAACCCAGGUUCGAACCCUGGUAGCACCU